rnacentral:rRNA from 1 species
AUGCAGUACAGGAUUUGGACUUCGGAUCGGAGAGCGCGACACGGCCUGCAGGAUGAGCCUUCCCCGUGUUACUUCUACCUGCAGGAUCAGGACGACACGGACCAUAUCUUGUCCAGCUGUACGUAUGCCAAAGAGGUCUGGUGCACACUUUGGGACACAUUCCACAUCAACAUCGGAGAUCAAGCGGUAGGGGAGUCCACCUUUCUUUGGUGGAUGAGAGUGAGGGUCAGCUUUCAGAAAGCGGAUAAGAGGGGUUUCGAUACUUUGUUCAUUGGGACUAUUUGGACCUUGUGGAAGCAACGGAACGCAAGGGUUUUCAACAGAGUUGAUCAACAACUGAGACCUAGGGAGGCAGCAAGGUGGAUCCUAGACGAGUUGGCAGAAUGGAAGCUUGCGGCGGGCGGUGUAGGAGGUUUACAAUGUUUUGUGAGAAUAGCCUAG